CAGUCGCCGCGGUAAUACAGAGGGUGCAAGCGUUAAUCGGAAUUACUGGGCGUAAAGCGCGCGUAGGUGGUUUGUUAAGUUGGAUGUGAAAGCCCCGGGCUCAACCUGGGAACUGCAUCCAAAACUGGCAAGCUAGAGUACGGUAGAGGGUGGUGGAAUUUCCUGUGUAGCGGUGAAAUGCGUAGAUAUAGGAAGGAACACCAGUGGCGAAGGCGACCACCUGGACUGAUACUGACACUGAGGUGCGAAAGCGUGGGGAGCAAACAGGAUUAGAUACCCCGGUAGUCCCUGUCUCUUAUAC
rnacentral:rRNA from 1 species